rnacentral:rRNA from 1 species
AAUAUCAAAGGUGAGCCAGUACAGGAUGGACCCGCGUCUGAUUAGCUAGUUGGUAAGGUAACGGCUUACCAAGGCGACGAUCAGUAGCCGACCUGAGAGGGUGAUCGGCCACAUUGGAACUGAGACACGGUCCAAACUCCUACGGGAGGCAGCAGUGGGGAAUAUUGCACAAUGGGCGAAAGCCUGAUGCAGCAACGCCGCGGGAGUGAUGAAGGCCUUCGGGUCGUAAAACUCUGUCCUCAAGGAAGAUAAUGACGGUACUUGAGGAGGAAGCCCCGGCUAACUACGUGCCAGCAGCCGCGGUAAUACGUAGGGGGCUAGCGUUAUCCG